AGGUCAUUUCAAAAGCGUUUGUUGGACUGUGGGAAGAAGACCUCUUAGAGCUGAGAUCUUAAGGUCUCUCUAGGAUGCUGUAGAUGCUCAAUACGGAGCUAUUUUCUUGAGGAGACAUAAAA
rnacentral:snoRNA from 1 species